rnacentral:sRNA from 1 species
AUUAUAAUAUGGAAAUAACUUUCAACAACGGAUCUCUUGGCUCUCGCAUCGAUGAAGAACGCAGCGAAAUGCGAUAAGUAAUGUGAAUUGCAGAAUUCAGUGAAUCAUCGAAUCUUUGAACGCACCUUGCGCCCUUUGGUAUUCCGAAGGGCAUGCCUGUUUGAGUGUCAUAUAGAAUCAACACCGUCGGGUCACCGAAGGUGUUGGAUUUGGGUAUUGGCCUUUGGGCCUUACCUCAAAGGCAUUAGUGGGUACCGCCCGGACGUUGUAAGCACUCGUCACGGUGGCCCUCUCACAAAGCCGAUUAUGUUUUGACUCUGGCCUCAAAUCAGGUAGGACUACCCGCUGAACUUAA